GGGAAAAACAUAUUUCUUUAAUUAUUAGUGAUUUAUUUAGGAAUUGAUUCAUCAUCAUCCUCUAAUAUCUUUACACUGCUAUUGUAAGUGAUUGGAACUGUGAAAUGUUUUCGUUUCUGUUGUGGACGAGUGUGGCAGUGUAGCCAGUCCCUUGUUUUGUUUUCUCUCACUCGAGUAUGGGAGCGCUGCCCUGAAUCUUUCGUCUGCGUUUUGGUAACACUAGCAACACGUGUAAGGAUCACGAAUGCUCUCGAGUGUGAGGACGUCAAUCGGUCCACCCUUUCAUUUUGGCUAUUUUACCAAAUUAAUGAUGCAAAUGAUUAUCUAUCCCUUGCGAGGGAUCUAGUCCAGGGGAUCUAGUCCAAAGAUCUAGUUCAGGAGUUCUGAAGACUAGGUUAAUUAAUCAAGUCCAGGAGACUAGGCCUGGGAGAAAUUUGGCAUGAUGUAAUGAGCAAUAAAGAAACAAGCUGAA